rnacentral:lncRNA from 1 species
CAAUGGAGAUUACUUUCUAGCCCAAAAAGUGCCCAAGAUGUGAGUGAAGCUGUCUUGGAUCCUCCCAAUCGGCCCAUCCACCAGCUGAGUAAUGCUGAGUUGUGCCAUAGUUGAUGCCACAAGGAGCAAGAGGUCGCCAGUUGCUAUCCUGCAGAAUCUGGGAUACGAUUGUUUAAAGCUUCUAAAUUUUGAUAGUGUAUUAGUUAUCCAUUACCAUAUAACAAAUCACUCCAAAAUUUAAUGGUUCAGGACAACAGCAAUCACUUAUUAUCUCACAGUGCCUAUGGAUCAGGAGUUUGGGAGCAAGUUGAUUGGGAAGUUCUAAGUUAGGGUAUCUCAUGAGGUCAGAUGUUGGGCAGAUUCUGUCCCUGCCUGAAGAAGCUUUCAGUCUAGGGGGAGUGAGGAGUAGACAAGUUAAUAGGCAAUCACAACACAUUCGGCUGGUCUGUGGAAUAGGGGUAAAAGCCCCUGAAAAGGGAAAACCUAACCCAGUCUUGAGGGUCAGGAAAAAAUUCCUAAUGAGGUCUAAACAGAGACUUGGCAAUGAGCAGGCAUUAGUCAGUUUGGAGGGUUGGAUGUGAAGGGGGCUGGAACAGAGGGAUGGGCAUGGGCAAAGGCCUAGAGGUAAAGAUGAAAAUGAUGUGUUUUUUGGAGCUGAAAGAAAUUUACAAAUGCUUAGAGAAUAGGUUCCCAGAGAAAGGAGAGGAGCUAGCCAGUAGUCACAGAUCCUCUGAACCAUCUUUCAUGGUGACAAAAGUUCACUCUGGCUACAGUGUGGAGGGGUUGGGAGAGGUCAAGAAGGGGACACGGUCCAGGGUGAACUCCACUGAUCAUACUUCUUUCUUCUGCCUGAGGGCCUCUCACUUAGGUCUAGUUUCUUGUCCAAGACACCGCCUCUGCCUUUUGCAACAUUGCAAUGAUUGGCAAAAAGAAUGACCUCAUCUCUCUGGCUCAAUCUUGCCCAAUCUCUGGAACCUUCUAUGACUCAGGUGAGAUGCUCACCCCCACACCAGGAAGUAGUCUAUGAAACUUUGCCUCCAACAAACAUAUUAAAAGAAUUAGAACAUAGGGAGCAGCACUACCUCACAUCUGGAGAAUGAGGCAGUGUGGAUUCUGACUUCCAUCUUUUAAGAACUGUGUUUGUAUAAUUGUUUUUAGUUGAUUUUUUUUUUUUUUACUGUGGUAAGAAACACAACAUAAGAUCUACUCUCUCACAAAAUUUUAAGUGUAUAUUGUUGUUAACCAUAGGUGCUGUAUUUAGUUGCAGAUCUCUCCAAUUUAUGCAUCUGACAUAACUGAAACUUUAUACCUUUUGAACCGCAAUUACCCAUUUUCCCUCUCCAAAGCCCUUGGCAACCACCAGUCUACUCUCUGCUUCUAUGAGUUUGACUAUUUUAGAUCCCUCAUAUAAGUGUAUUCAUGCAGUAUUUAUCCUUCUGUGUCUGACUUAUUUCACUUAGCAUAAUGUCCUGCAGGCUAUUGUUGCAAGUGGCAGGAUUUUUUUCUUUUUCUAAAGCUAAAUAAUAUUGCAUUGUAUGAAUAUACCAUGUUUUCUUUUUUUUUUUUUUUUAAUUUUUUUUUUUCAACGUUUAUUUAUUUUUGGGACAGAGAGAGACAGAGCACGAACGAGGGAGGGGCAGAGAGAGAGGGAGACACAGAAUCGGAAACAGGCUCCAGGCUCCGAGCCAUCAGCCCAGAGCCCGACGCGGGGCUCGAACUCACGGACCGCGGGAUCGUGACCUGGCUGAAGUCGGACGCUUAACCGACUGCGCCACCCAGGCGCCCCUGUUUUCUUUUUUUUAAUUUAAUUUAAUUUUUUUAAUAUUUAUUUAUUUAUUUAUUAUUAUUAAAAAAAAUUUUUUUAACGUUUAUUUAUUUUUGAGACAGAGAGAGACAGAGCAUGAAUGGGGGAGGGUCAGAGAGAGGGAGACACAGAAUCUGAAACAGGCUCCAGGCUCUGAGCUGUCAGCACAGAGCCUGACGCGGGGCUCGAACUCACGGACCACAAGAUCAUGACCUGAGCCGAAGUCAGGCGCUUAGCCGACUGAGCCACCCAUGCACCCCAAAUACUUAAUUUUUUUUGAGUUUAUNNNNNNNNNNNNNNNNCACCCAGGCACCCCUAUACCAUGUUUUCUUUCUCUAUUCAUCCAUCAAGGGACAUUUAGGUUGUUUCAAUAUUUUGGUUAUUAUGGAUGAUGCUGCAGUGAACAUGGGAAUGUAGAUAACCUCUUUGACAUCCUGAUUUCAAUUCUUUUGGGUAAAUAUUCCAAAAUGGGAUUGCUAGAUCAUGUGGUAGUUCUAUUUUUAAUCUUUUGAAGAACCUCCAUACUGUUUUCCAAAAUUUGAAUAUGCAAUUCAAUAGCUUCCCUGUCUGUUAGAAACAAUGAUUUAGAAUAGACUGUGGGGGCACCUGGGUGGCUCAGUCAGUUAAGUGUCUGACUUUUUAUUUUGGCUCAUAUCAUGAUCACAUCAGGCUCUGCACUGACAUCAUGGAGCCUGCUUGGGAUCCUCUCUCUCUCUCGCUUUGCUUCACUCUCUUUCUGUCGUUCUCUCUCUGCCCCUAUCUCUGUGCCUCUCUCACACUCUCUCAAAAUAAAUAAAUAAACAUUAAAAAAAAAAGAGAGAGAGAGAAUAGACUGUGGGAAAAUGUGCCAUAUAAAAAUAUCACCACAAAAAGAGUUUGAUACAGAUAGUAUGUGUUAAAAACCUAAAUAAUAGUUUUCUUAAAGUUCUCAAAACUUUUGACUUAACAGACUGGAUCAUACCAGGAAUAGAAAAUAUAUAACAUUGGAUAAUAUCAGUAUUAAUCUUUCCAAAUAAAUGUAUAAGUUUAAUGCAGAUCUAUAAAAAAAAUGUUUGCACUACUGUGUAUCAGUAUUAGCAAAUCCAAGAUUGUGUGCUAUAUUUUUAAAUAAAAAGGGGCACCUGGGUGGCUCAGUUGGUUGAGCAUCUGACUUUGGCUCAGAUCAUGAUCUUGCAGUUCAUGAGUUCGAGCCCCACGUUGGGCUCUGUGCUGACAGCUCAGAACCUGGAGCCUCCUUCAGAUUCUGUGUCCCCCUCUCUCUCUGCCCCACCCCUGCUUGUGGUCUGUCUCUCUCUGUCUUUCAAAAAUGAAUGAACAUUAAAAAAAAUUAAAAAAAAAUAAUGAGGUUUUGGGUUACUCUCUAUGUUACAUAUGGUGUUGAGGAAAUACUAAAUAUUUUACCUUUUAUUCAGCACACUGGCUGAGAACAUCAUUGCAAAAGACCACAUUAUAUGCUUCCAUUUAAAUGAUAUGUCCAGAGAAAGCAAAUCUGCGGAGACAGAAAUUGAGAGACUUCAGUUGGGGCUUUACCACAGCAGGGUCACCAGCAGGGGGACCACUUGGAAAGAGAGUUGUUCAAAUGAGGGAUGAGGAGCUGAACAGAGGGCUGCAGAGAGAAUAACCUUUGGUCCCUGGAAUCGAAAGACUCUACUACUGAAUGCACCUGACUUUGGGAAUUGCACAUUGUGAAGUCCGGUGAGACUAAGAGUCAUAGGAUACAGAACCAUGUUUUGUUGAUUCUUAUUUUAAACAUGAAAUUUGGACUAGGACAGUCUAGAGUUUUUCUGAAGCUGCUGACCAGCUGUGAACUUGGAUAAAUGACCUCCUUUCUGUACCUUAAUAUCCUCGUCUGUAAAUGGAGAUAAUAUUUCAUACCUCUCAGGGCUGUUCUGAAGAUUAAACACCUAGUGCAAUUCUUGGCCUAUAGUAGGUUCUCAAUGGAUAUUAGUUCUCCCUCAUACUCCUUCUGAAAUGUUAUUUUAGAGAGAAUUCCAGAAAAUAGGAAAACGUGGAGCUCUUCUGGGUCACAUUUCCCAUGUGGUUGGAGAGGGCUUGCUCCAUGCAAUUUGCAGCUAUAUCUGGUGGGACCCAAAUAUGCAUCUCUAACCCAGCUCCAAACCUGUGUACCCAGCUGCCUACUCAGCAUCAGUUAGAUGUCUCACAGGCACACCAUGCCCCAAACACAUUAUCUCUUACUCCUCCAACUUGCUGAUCCUCAAAGCUGUGAUCCAUAUUGAGUAAAUAGUGUCAGCAUUCACCUAGCUGUUCAAGCCUGAAGACUUGACUCUUUCCUUUUCCUCAAAUCCCAAAUGAAACGAGUCUUCAAGUUCUGACAGUCUAUCUAGUGAUUUGGUACAUUGAACCUAUUCAUUAAUUUUCAUCCAAAAAUAUUUGUUGAGCAGUUACUAUGGACUAGGCAUCAUGUCAGGCUCUGUCUUCACUGCUUCCUCCCUAGUACUGAUCACAAUCUUCUUCUGACUUGACUGAAGAAAUAGCUUCCCUGUUAGUUGCCCUGAAUCAGCUUCUUACCUCUUUGAAUCUUUUCUCCACAUGCUACCAGAGAUUCGUUCCUUUGGCUUAAGACUUUAAAUGGCUUCCCACCUGGCACAGCCAGUAAGACUUUCUAAGAUCCAGGCCCACUAGGCAUAAGUCUGGUUCCCUGAUAUAUGCUCCAGUCAUUGGUGGGGUUCCCCCCAAAACAAAUCCUGAGACAAGGAUUUGAGUGCAAGUGGUUUAUGUGGGGGGUAAUCUCAGGAAGCUGUGGUAGGAAGAUAGAGGAAUGAGGAAGGAAGAAAAAGAAGGCUAUUCAGAGUGCCUUAAUGAAUGGAUUCAUGGGAGGUGGGUGACUGGGGCUCAGUCUCACUGGGAAACUCUGGGAGACAGUAUACACCAUAGCCUGAAUUGUGUUCCCCCAAAUCCAUAUGUUGAAGCCUUCAUCCUCAAUAUGCCUAUAUUUGGAGAUAGGGACAAUAAGGAGAUAAUUAAAAAUUAAGGAGGGCCUAUAAUGAGAUCAUAAGGGUGGGGCCUUGAUGCAGUAGCAUUAGCAUAUUUCUAAGAAGUAACACUAGGGAGCUCCCCUGAGGUCUUUCUUUCUCUUCAUGAGAGAGCACACAAAGAAGAGGUCACGUGAACACACAGUGAUAAAGUGGUCAUCCACAAGCCAGGAAGAGAGGUUUCACCAGAAACCACCCAUGCUGGCACCCUGAUCUCAGCCAUCCAGCCUCCAGAACUGUGAGAAAAUACAUUUCCGUUGUCUAAGCCACGCAGUCUAUGGCAUUUUGUUAUGGCAGCCCAGGCUUAGAUAGUAUAGAACACCCAGAGGGUGAGGGAUCUGCGUAGUUAACUCUCAAGUCUUAUUCACCAUGGGUUGAGGACUGCUCCUGAGGGCACUGAUUCCUUGGCACUGACGGCCUGCACCAUACUAGGGCCGAGCAUGCUCCUGCCUGCUGUGGGCCAGAGAAGCCUUACUCAGCUUGAGAGUCUCUUGCAGGAAGAAGCCUUUGGCUUGCCUGGUGAGUGCUGAGGGGAUGUGAGCAGGGCAGUAGUGGCCUCCACAGCCCCCAGUUUACUUUCCAUCCGUAGCUCUGCUUAUCCUUAAAAUGACUCAUUCAGCCAAUGUGUUAGCUCUGUAAGGCUAUAGACAAUAUCUCUCUGCUUCACAAAUGUAUUGCCAAUGCCUAGCACAGAGCCUGACAAGUAAUAGUUGCUCAAGAGAUAUUUAAUGAAUGUUUGGAUAAGUAAAUAAAUGAUGAUCCUUUUCAGAAAGUAACCCAGGGGGCACCUGGGUGGCUCAGUCAGUUAAGUGUCCGGCUCUUGGUUUUGGCUCGGGUCAUGAUCUCAUGGUUCGUGAGUUCAAGCCCCAUGUCGGGCUCUGCACUGGCAGUGUGGAGCCUGCUUGGGAUUCUUUCUCCUUCUCUUUCUUCCCCUCCCCUGCUCUCUCUCUCUCUCAAAAAAAAUAAACUUAAAAAAAAAUCUUAAAAAAAAAAAAAACCAGAAAGUAAGUAAGGCAUGUCAUGCUCUGUAUCUGACAAAUAAAUUACACAUGGAGCAUAAAACCUCUAAGUUAUUGUGACACCUAAAUCUCUAUAUUCACAUAAAUUACUGAACUCUCUUUACAGUAGCUGAUUAAAAGCUUUACUAUGCUUUUUAAAUAAAGCUUAAGGUGUAAAUUUUUAUCCUUUUGUAACAAAUCCUAACACCUUUUUUCUAGACCCAGGCCAUUCCACAUGUUG